rnacentral:sRNA from 2 species
GUAUAGCCCCGAUAGCAGCGGCAUCCUUUUUAUUUUCCUCUCGACUCCGCUCGAGGUGACAAUAAAAAGAUAUAGUGGAUAGCGGGACAAUUG